rnacentral:rRNA from 1 species
UACGGGGGGGGUAAGCGUUGUUCGGAAUUACUGGGCGUAAAGGGCUCGUAGGCGGCCAACUAAGUCAGACGUGAAAUCCCUCAGCUUAACUGGGGAACUGCGUCUGAUACUGGAUGGCUUGGAUUUGGGAGAGGAAUGCGGAAUUCCAGGUGUAGCGGUGAAAUGCGUAGAUAUCCGGAAGAACACCGAUGGCGAAGGCAACCACCUGGGCCUGUACUGACGCUGAGGUACGAAAGCGUGGGGAGCAAACAGG